rnacentral:rRNA from 1 species
AUUGAACGCUGGCGGCAGGCCUAACACAUGCAAGUCGAACGAGUGGCGGACGGGUGAGUAAUGUCUGGGAAACUGCCUGAUGGAGGGGGAUAACUACUGGAAACGGUAGCUAAUACCGCAUACCAUCGGAUGUGCCCAGAUGGGCUUAGCUAGUAGGUGGGGUAACGGCUCACCUAGGCGACGAUCCCUAGCUGGUCUGAGAGGAUGACCAGCCACACUGGGACUGAGACACGGUCCAGACUCCUAAGGGAGGGAGCAGGGGGGAAUAUUGCACAAUGGGCGCAAGCCUGAUGCAGCCAUGGCGCGUGUAUGAAGAAGGCCGUCGGGUUGGAAAGGACUUUCAGCGGGGAGGCGGUACCCGCAGAAGAAGCACCGGCUAACUCCGUGCCAGCAGGCGGGGUAAUAC